rnacentral:misc_RNA from 1 species
GGAUAUGAAAAGCAUGCUAAAUUAACAAUUUUCAGAACCUAAACUUGAGGCAUAUAAGCAGACCUCAAAGUACCAACUUUAAAACGACGACUGGGCACAGGGCUAUCGCCCGAGCCUAACUGUAGCUGCUAGUUAAACAUCAUACAUACAGACGAACAAGAGUUAGAUACAGGCUACAUCGAACUAGGAAACUGUUUUGAAGCAUCGUUGUUGCAUACUAAAUAUCAGUGUCGAAGGAUUAGUAGUCCCUCGUGUGCUUGGCCAACUCACCCUCAAACUGACUCUUCAAAUGAUCAAGUUCCUUGUCAAGAUCAUUAAUAGCCUGGUUAUAUGCCUGCAUAGGUGAGGACUGGCUUGUUGUUUGGAUCCUGAGCAGAAUUUUGUACUGGAGAGGAUGAGGCAACUUGUACCCAGCAAACAGAACAUUAUCAUCCCUAUGUAGUUGCAUGCGAACAAUGUUCCCGAUUGUAUGGUCCUCUCUUUCAACAGUAAAUGUAGCUGCAUUCAUGAUCUUCGUAUCCCUCUCAUACGAAACCUUCUUAACGCCUUCUGGAACAACGAAUCGUUCGUAACGAUCUGGAGCAUUCAUCUUUCUU